UUGACCUCGGAUCAGGUAGGGAUACCCGCUGAACUUAAGCAUAUCAAUAAGCGGAGGAAAAGAAACCAACAGGGAUUGCUCUAGUAACGGCGAGUGAAGCAGCAAUAGCUCAAAUUUGAAAUCUGGCGUCUUCGGCGUCCGAGUUGUAAUUUGUAGAGGAUGCUUCUGGGCAGCCACCGACCUAAGUUCCUUGGAACAGGACGUCAUAGAGGGUGAGAAUCCCGUAUGCGGUCGGAAAGGCACCCUACACGUAGCUCCUUCGACGAGUCGAGUUGUUUGGGAAUGCAGCUCUAAAUGGGAGGUAAAUUUCUUCUAAAGCUAAACAUUGGCCAGAGACCGAUAGCGCACAAGUAGAGUGAUCGAAAGAUGAAAAGCACUUUGGAAAGAGAGUUAAAAAGCACGUGAAAUUGUUGAAAGGGAAGGGAUUGCAACCAGACUUGCUCGCGGUGUUCCGCCGGUCUUCUGACCGGUCUACUCGCCGCGUUGCAGGCCAGCAUCGUCUGGUGCCGCUGGAUAAGACUUGAGGAAUGUAGCUCCCU
rnacentral:rRNA from 1 species